rnacentral:lncRNA from 1 species
AAAACAUAUGUUUAUGUGCUGUUGAUUUCAGAGAAUAUAUUUCAUAAUGUAGAAGACAUCAUCUGUUUUUAUUCUCCAAGACUCGGCUGGGAGUUCUGCUCUAUGUCAUCAUUGUUCUCACUCCAGGACCCAGGUUCACAGAACAACCACUUUCUGGAGCACUGCCAAACAGACUAGGAGCAGGAGAAGAGAAUAAGAGGAAGCAGGCACUCGAUUUUGAGAAUUCUUCACAUCCCUCAAAAAUUCUACUAGUCUCUAACAGUCUGGACUCCACGCAAAGAAAAGAAGUAUGAUUUCGUUGUUUGUAAACUGUCCUGUGAGGCACAGAAGUAAAUUAUGAGCCAUUCACUUAUUAUCAUUCUGUCCAAGAAGAAGAGAAAAAGAACAACGACAGCAAAUUAGACAGACGAUGAGAGCAGGACACGGCUGUCUUCCGGAGAGUUUCAAGCAGAUAAGAGAAUGUGCCCUGGGAUGGGCUCCUCGCAAAAUCUCCUGCUGUUCUCCUGGGAGGUUACCAUUUGUUCCGCCCACAGGGUUCCAAAAUUAAGAACUGGCCUCUUUUGUGGGGAAAAGUGCUUUUAAUGCAUUUAUAAGAAGCUGAAAUACACAGAGAUACAAGAAAAAUGCUUUUAAAUGUAUAUUUGCAUUCACUUUGGAGAUGGAAUGCUGAAUGUAACUGUUUUAGCUCAAAAAGUUUUGUGGGCUUUUAAAAAAAUUAGUUUUUUGUAGUAUAGUAGACAGUAGCAGGAUACAGCUCUGCCAUUGCCAUUUAUCUAACUCAGCAAGACUAAUUCGCACCCCUCACACCACUUUCCCUAAGAGUUCUGUAUGAAAGAUUACCCCGGUGCCUUCAUUGUUCCUUUGUUCAUAAUUGCUCAGCAUCUCUCCAUUCUGGCUUGAGUUAAAUCAGAAAUACAAUGAACUACAUGGAAUAUAUGUGUGAACAGAAUACCAGCAAUCCUUCCUUUCCUG